rnacentral:rRNA from 1 species
GAUGAACGCUGGCGGCGUGCCUAAUACAUGCAAGUCGAGCGAACGGACGAGAAGCUUGCUUCUCUGAUGUUAGCGGCGGACGGGUGAGUAACACGUGGAUAACCUACCUAUAAGACUGGGAUAACUUCGGGAAACCGGAGCUAAUACCGGAUAAUAUUUUGAACCGCAUGGUUCAAAAGUGAAAGACGGUCUUGCUGUCACUUAUAGAUGGAUCCGCGCUGCAUUAGCUAGUUGGUAAGGUAACGGCUUACCAAGGCAACGAUGCAUAGCCGACCUGAGAGGGUGAUAGGCCACACUGGAACUUAGACACGGUCCAGACUCCUACGGGAGGCAGCAGUAGGGAAUCUUCCGCAAUAGGCGAAAGCCUGACGGAGCAACGCCGCGUGAGUGAUGAAGGUCUUCGGAUCGUAAAACUCUGUUAUUAGGGAAGAACAUAUGUGUAAGUAACUGUGCACAUCUUGACGGUACCUAAUCAGAAAGCCACGGCUAACUACGUG